GGAUAGCUCAGUCAGUGGAGCAUGAGACUCUUAACCUCAGGGCUGUGGGUUCAAGCCCCGCGUUGGGCA